AACGAACGCUGGCGGUAUGCCUAACACAUGCAAGUCGAACGGUAACAGGGACUUCGGUCCGCUGACGAGUGGCGAACGGGUGUGUAACGCGUGGAUACCUGCCCCGAGGUACGGGACAACAUCUGGAAACAGUUGCUAAUACCGUACAAGCUCCAAGGAGGAAAGGCUUCGGCCGCCUUGGGAGGGGUCCGCGUCGGAUUAGCUAGUUGGUGAGGUAACGGCUCACCAAGGCGACGAUCCGUAGCUGGUCUGAGAGGAUGAUCAGCCACACUGGGACUGAGACACGGCCCAGACUCCUACGGGAGGCAGCAGUGGGGAAUAUUGCGCAAUGGGGGAAACCCUGACGCAGCAAUACCGCGUGAGUGAUGAAGGCCUUCGGGUUGUAAAGCUCUUUUAGCAGGGACGAUAAUGACGGUACCUGCAGAAAAAACUCCGGCUAACUCCGUGCCAGCCGCCGCGGUACAAGGCACACAGGGGAUA
rnacentral:rRNA from 1 species